rnacentral:rRNA from 1 species
UACAGGGGGGGCAAGCGUUGUUCGGAAUUACUGGGCGUAAAGGGUCAGUAGGCGGCCAACUAAGUCCGACGUGAAAUCCCAAAGCUUAACUUUGGAACUGCGUCGGAUACUGGAUGGCUUGAAUUCGGGAGAGGGAUGCAGAAUUCCAGGUGUAGCGGUGAAAUGCGUAGAUAUCUGGAGGAAUACCGGUGGCGAAGGCGGCGACCUGGGUAGAUACUGACGCUGAGGUGCGAAAGCGUGGGGAGCAAACAGG